UACGUAGGGUGCAAGCGUUGUCCGGAAUUAUUGGGCGUAAAGAGCUCGUAGGCGGUUUGUCGCGUCGGCUGUGAAAACUCGGGGCUCAACCCCGAGCCUGCAGUCGAUACGGGCAGACUAGAGUGCUGUAGGGGAGACUGGAAUUCCUGGUGUAGCGGUGAAAUGCGCAGAUAUCAGGAAGAACACCAAUGGCGAAGGCAGCUCUCUGGGACGGUACUGACGCUGAGACGCGAAAGCGUGGGGAGCGAACAGG
rnacentral:rRNA from 1 species